GGGAAAUGAGAAAUUGAUAUUAAAGCCUUGCGGGGUUCCAGUUGACAUUCCAAGUAAUGAGUGUCGAUCGAGACACCGCAACGGUUGUCACAGGCUCAAGGGGAGUACCGGGUCAUGACAGAAAAACUGAAGAGAAAAAAGAAGAUUGAGUCGUGCUUUGCAAGUAAAGAAUCUGAAAAAUCGAAGAGCCACAAAUCUGAACAAAAGAAAGAAAUGAGCAAACUGCACAAGAAAGGUACUUCUUCAUCUUCCAAAUUCAGAAAUAAAAUGCAUGAAGAGAGAUUUAGGAAAAUUGAGAAUGCCCCCAUCACUUGUGGAAAAUAUAUUGAUUAAGAAAGUUUUAUAGCAUGUUUGGUUGGGGGAAUGGCUAAGCCAUUCCCACUUUAUUCCCAAGGAAUUUUGGUUCCUUUGUUUGGUUGAAAAAUUAUCCAAGGAAUAGUCAUUCCAUAGGAAUGGUUAUUCUUCAAAAUCCUUCAAAACCAAGGAAUAGCUAAUACCACCCUCCCCCAUGGUAUUAGCUAUUCCAUGGUUGAGGAAUAAAUUCAAAAAUUAAUAAAAACAAAAAUACCCCUUACAAGUUUAAAAAUUUACAACUUUAUUGGUAUAAAAUAUUAUUUUUCUCUCUCUCUUCUUUCUCUCACUUGAUUCCAACUUUUAAUAAAAUAUUAAUAUUAAAUUAUAAAUAAAAUAUAAUAUUUAAAUUAUCAUUUAUUAAUAAAAUAAAUUAUAAAUUAUUCCUAUUUUAAUAAAUAAUAACUAAAUUAAAAUAAAUAAACAUAAUAUCAUUUAAAUUAGAUAAACAAUAUUAAUAAUUAAAUUAAUUAUUAAUAUUUUAAAUAAAUUACCAAUUAUAAUAUUUAAAAAUAAAAUAAAAAUUAAUCAAAUAAUUUUUAAAUUAAAUAAAAUAUUAAUAUUUAAAUUAUCUAUUAUAAUAUUUUAAAUAAAUAAUCAAUUAUUAAUUUUUAAAAAUAAAAUAAAAUAAAAUAAUUGAUCAUCAUAAUAUUUAAAUUAAAUAAAAUAUUAAUAUUUUAAAAUAUAAAUAAUCAAAUUAUAAAUAAAUAUAAAUAUUAAAAUUAUCAAUUAUUAAUAUUUUAAAUAAAUUAUCAAUUAUUAAUAUUUUAAAAAUAAAAUAAAAUAAAAUUUAAUCAUAAUACUAUUUAAAUUAAAUAAAUGUUAAUAUUUAAAUGAUUAAUUAUUAAUAUUUUAAUUAAAUUCUAGAUUAUUAAUAUUUAAAAAAUCUAAUAAAAAUAAAAUGUCACAUAAAUAAUAAAGGGUGUUUUUGUCUUUUUAUUUUCUAUUCCUUUCUUAUUCCAAAAUUAUUGUUACCAACCAAACACUACAAUAAGUCAUAAUAAUUAUUCAUGUCCUAUUCCCUUUGUCAUACCAAACUAAGUAAUAACUAUUCUAUUCUAUUCCCACCUCAUUCUAUUCCCACAUAAUAACUAUUCUAUUCUAUUCCUAUCUAUUCCGCAAACCAAACGUACCAUUAGUGAAAUGCCUAAAAUUCUAACAAGUUUGUCAAAUUAUUUUGAAGAACUAAAAUUGAAAGAGUUCAACACAUUUAAAAACCGAUCAUAUAGUGCUAGUUUAGUUAAGGAAUUCUAUUCGAGUAUUAUUGUUGACAAGGAUGAAUUGGAAGAAGCAAAUGAUUAUUCUGAUGAGGGUCUGAAUGUGUUUUUGAAUGGGAAAGAAUUUACUGUCACUGCUGCAGACUUAAGGGAACUAAUUAAGAUAGAAUGUAAUGAGGGAGAAUUUAAAUUUCUUGAGAAGUAUGACCCUUCAUCCCUAUGGGAAGUGAUCACAGGAAAAAAGAAAAGUAUUCCUCUAAGAGCAAUGCAAGGCUUAUCACAAGUCCUCAAAUAAGGAUUCUACAUUACUUUGUUGCUGCUAAUCUUCAUGGGAGGAGUGGAAGCUUGAGCUACAUCAACCUCCAGGAUUUAUGGCUAAUGUAGCAUGCUUGGAAGGUUCAUGAUUGAAAGAAUGAGGGGUGCAUGCAAACUAGAGAAGAUCAACUUGCCUUAUGAAAAUAUCAUCACUUUUCUAGUACAGAAGAAAGGGAUUUGGAGUUCUAGAUAUAAGGCGGACAAGGUAAAAACCAGAGACCAAGCCAUUUAUUUAGGAAGCUUACCUAAAAUAGGGUACAAACUUGAUGGAGAAAGAUAUAUUAAAACCCCCAAGGCUGGUCUAGGAAAAGAAUCCUCCUUACCUGCUCAACCAGAAACAGCACCAUCACAAUUCUCAAAAGAGAUAAUCUUUAAUCUGCUAAUGAGAAUUGAUGGGAAGCUCACUAAUCAGGGAGCAAGAAUUUAGAAAAUUGAAGAAAGGUUAACAAAAAUGGAAUGCAAAAUUAAAGGAAAAGAAAAAGUGCCAUCUAAACCAGCUACUGCAGAUAGUUCUAUAACUCCUAGUCUGGCUUUAGCAGGACAGGAAGCUGAGGUGCAAGCUGAAGGUCACGAACCUAAGGUGGAACAACCGAGAAAAUCCCCCUCACUUGAGCCUCAUGACAAGGAUGAAUCUGAUCAAGGUAUCAAGGUGCUUGGAUCAUUUAAUGAAAAUCCUCCCUCUAAACCCCAACCUCAACCAGAACCUGAACCAUCUCCUCCACAUUUUGAAGAGGUUUCAAUCAUGGGACUUUUCCAUCAAAUGGUUCAAGAGGAGCAAGCUGAAAAAUAGGUAGCUAAGGGAAAAGCUCAACAAACAAUAUCAGCAUCAGCUCCCACUGUAGAAGGGCAAUAAGGGAAAGAAAAAGAAAAAGUUACUGAAGAACCACAGAAAAAGUCCAAACCACCAAGCAUGCGCAAGAAAACAAUGGGAACUAAAACAAAGUUCAUCAAAAAGAGGAAAUCAUCCAGAUUGGCUGAGAAGACCAAGCCAGCACCAAUCUCCUCUCCUCAACACCCUCUCGAGAUCUCAUCCCCUGAACAAUCCCCUGAGCAGUCACCACCUCAACCCUCUCAUCAACCAAAAUCCUCUCCUCAACCCCUCAAUGUCCAAUACUACACUGAUGAUGAGUCUUCUCCUUCAUCCUCCUCAAAAGAUGAUUAGAGAUUGAUGAUGACAAAAAGGGGGAGAAACAUGGCAGGGACCUUAGGGAGAAUUUAAGGGAAAUAGGAAGUAGAAACUGUCUAGGGGCAAUUUAGGAACAUUAACUAUUAACUUGUGAUAAUCUGCUGUUUGUGCCAUGAUGGCAAUUGAACACUUAAAUUCAAUUCUGCUGUUUAAAUUUAAUUCCAUUUUUGUGUGUGAAAUGGGAUGCCUUACCAUCUAUGGUAUUUUAACUGCUGCUGAUGAAAAUCUGGUGCUGUACUGAUAUUGAGAAAUGAUGCUAAUGAUUGAUUUCUGUCAUACUUUCAUGAAUGGAAAGUGUUUGUGAAUGUAUAUAGAUGUUAAGUAUAUUAUGUCUGAUGAAUUAUUAAUGGCAAAGACAAAAUUUGGUAACAAUACAUUGUUGAUAAACACUAUAAAGAUAAAGAUGAAAAUCUGUCAACAUUCACCUGCUGUAAAUCACUUUAUAUCUCUACAUAUAUAUAUACUUUGAAUAAGUAGUGUCAUUUUCUAUACGACAUGAGUAAAAUUUGUUGAAAUGAAUAAGCAAAAUAUGCAUACACAAAGGGGGAGCACACACUUAGGGGGAGUAAUCCCCAUUUUUCUGCAGAAUUGAAAUUAAAAAGACACUGUGCUAUUAAUCAAGGAAUGUUUUGUCAUCAUCAAAAAUGGGGAGAUUGUUGGCUCCAUUAGUUUUUGAUGAUAAUAAACAUUCCCAUUCAUUUGUGUCUAAUAUUUCUACUUGAAUGUGCAGGACAAAAUUAUAUGCAAAUGAAUAAUCUAUCAUUAAAAUGCACACAUCAAAAAGCAUAGGAAUAAGGAAGUCACAAUUGAACAACAAAACAAAAGUCCCUUAGUUGAUUAAUGAAGAGUUAGUCAGCUAAGAUUUAAAUCAAAGGUUAGCGGGCUGAAGAGUAUUGAGAAACAGAACCAACUUAGUCAACUAAGGAAUGAGUUAGUCGACUAAGUGCACACUACCAGAACUCCUAGAAGUUGGGAACAAAAGACAGAGACAACUUAGUCGACUAAGAUAUCGGUUAGUUGACUAAGAGCAUUUUGCCUGUAAGUUUGAUUUUGCACUAAAGGACAGUUUAAUGGCUAAAACCAACUCCCAACUGUUUCCAAUGGCUUGAAAACUGUCAAACUACCAUCAGAGUUGUUUCUCCAAGUAUAAAAGAGGGUUUCAAUGGCUAAAAAUGCAUUGAAGGCUUCCAAGAACACAAAAAUAGCUUAAAAAUUAGAGAACACCUGCUGCUCAUUUAUUGCACUCAACUCUUAUCCCUUAUAAUUGUGAUCUGCACUUCAAUUGUACCACUUAGAUCAACCUUGUGAUCAUAUGUAUACUCUUUUUACUUCUCUCUUUAUGUUUUUACAGUGAAAGGGUCACUCUAAGUGGUUCAAUCAAGAUAGGAUUGCUUGUUUGUGUUAAGGUUCUAACCUAGCCUUGAAAAGUUAGUUGUUGGGUUUUGGUUGAUCCCGUGAAAAACCAUUGUUGUAGGUUAUGGUUGAGCCUUUGAAAAACUACUUUGGGUUUUAGUUGAGCCCGUGAAAAACCAUUGUGAAAGGUUGUGGUUGAGCCUUUGAAAAACCAUUUUGGGUUUUGGUUGAUCCCGGUAAAAACCAUUGUGAAAGGUUUUGACUAAGCUUGGUAAAAGCCAUUGUAAAGCUUGGUGGAAGCUUGUUAAUUUCACCAGUUCUUAGUGGAUUGGUUGGAAAAUCCUUGGUUGGAUAAUCAAGGUAGUGGAUAUAGG
rnacentral:lncRNA from 1 species